rnacentral:tRNA from 1 species
GGAGAGGUGCCAGAGUGGUCGAAUGGGGCGGUCUCGAAAACCGUUGUCCCUUCGGGGACCCAGGGUUCGAAUCCCUGCCUCUCCG